rnacentral:rRNA from 1 species
AGGUUGGCUCAGAAGCAGCCAUCCUUUAAAGAGUGCGUAACAGCUCACUAGUCGAAUGACUCUGCGCCGAUAAUUUACCGGGGCUAAGCAUACUACCGAAGCUAUGGAUCCCAAGGGAUGGUAGGGGAGCGUUCCAUGAACGGAGAAGUACGACCGAAAGGACGUGUGGAGAUCAUGGAAGAGAGAAUGCCGGUGUGAGUAGCGGAACGUGGGUGAGAAUCCCACGCACCGAAAACCCAAGGUUUCCAGAGGAAGGUUCGUCCGCUCUGGGUAAGUCGGGACCUAAGGCGAGGCCGAAAGGCGUAGUCGAUGGACAACAGGUAGAGAUUCCUGUACCCGUAUAUAUGUGAAGGAAUGACGGAGAGAGGAAGCUGCAGCCAGCGGCUGGAAGAGCUGGUGCAAGCGAGAUAUCGGGAUGGCAGGCAAAUCCACCAUCCGAAACGAGAAGGCGUGAAGCGUACGGAAAGCUACGGCGAGUACGGAAGGCAGUGGAGGAACUUCCAAGAAAAGUUUCUAACGUAAAGUAUAUAUGGCCCGUACCGAAAAUGGACACACAUGGGUGAGGAGAGAAUCCUAAGGUGAGCGAGAGAACUAUAGCUAAGGAACUCUGCAAAAUGACUCCGUAACUUAGGGAGAAGGAGUGCUCAUAGAGAUAUGAGCCGCAGUGAAACGGCCCAAGCGACUGUUUACCAAAAACACAGCUCUCUGCUAAGCCGCAAGGCGAAGUAUAGGGGGUGACGCCUGCCCGGUGCUGGAAGGUUAAGGGGAGGGGUUAACGCAAGUGAAGCCCUGAACUGAAGCCCCAGUAAACGGCGGCCGUAACUAUAACGGUCCUAAGGUAGCGAAAUUCCUUGUCAGGUAAGUUCUGACCCGCACGAAAGGCGUAACGAUUUGGGCGCUGUCUCAGCUGUAGACUCGGUGAAGUCUUAGUACCUGUGAAGAUGCAGGUUACCCGCGACUAGACGGAAAGACCCCAUGGAGCUUCACUGCAGGUUGAUAUUGGGAUUUGAUGCAGCAUGUACAGGAUAGGUAGGAGGCAAAGAGAUGGAUACGCCAGUAUUCAAGGAGCCGCUGUUGGGAUACUACCCCUGUUGUAUUGGAUUUCUAACCGGACGACGUAGAGCCGUUGACGGGACAGUGUCAGUCGGGCAGUUUGACUGGGGCGGUCGCCUCCCAAAGAGUAACGGAGGCGCCCAAAGAUACCCUCAGCUUGGAUGGAAACCAAGCGCAGAGUGCAAAGGCAAAAGGGUGUUUGACUGCGAGACCCACAAGUCGAGCAGGGACGAAAGUCGGGCUUAGUGAUCCGGCGGUGCUGAAUGGAAAGGCCGUCGCUCAACGGAUAAAAGCUACCCUGGGGAUAACAGGCUGAUCUCCCCCAA